UGGGAGAAACCUUAAAACAAAACUAAAACCCCAAAACCUCAAUUUUCUCUCUCCUCUGAUUUUAUAUCCCGUACUGUGCAUGCUCAAUUUCUGCAUUUUAGAGUCGGAAUUUGCCCAAACUUAUUGAAUAAAAGUUGUAGAUCUAGAAAAGUUAUUGAACUUAGACCCAAAAAUCACUUGAUUUGGAGUUCGGAGCUAUGAGUUAUGGUCAUUGCAAGUUUGGUGUUGCUACCUUCAAUUCUCUCUCCUUUGUUUUCACUCCGACAAUCUGUUGCCCCAAUUAUCUACAAUAUGCAAUCCAAUUUUGCUCUUUAUUGUUGAAUCAAAGUGGUAGAUAACUUCGAGCUAAUGUUCUUUGGCACAAAAAUCACUUGAUUCGGAGUUUUGAGCUAUGAGUUAUGAUCUUUGUAAGUUUGGUGUUGCUACCUUCAUUUCUCUCUCCUCUGUUUUUAUUCCGACAAUCUGUUACCUCAAUUAUCUACAACAUGCAGUCCAAUUUUGCUCUUUGUUGCUGAAUCAAAGUUGUAGAUCACUUCGAGCUAAUGAAUUUGGGCACAAAAAUCGCUCAAUUCGGAGUUCGGAGCUAGGAGUUACGCCUCACACAAGUUCAGCACUGCUGUUGUACCUUGUGUUGUGCUGCUGUCGUGGUUGGCUUGUUUGCCCAUGUUGUCAUUGCUAAAUUGUUGCCUUGUUGCUGCCAUUGUUGGUAUUCUUUUCCAUAUGAAGGUAUAAGCUAAUUUUUUCUUAAUUCCUCAUCUCAUUUGAUUCCAAUUCAAGUGUGGUGCAAUUGGAUUUUAUAUUCUGAUUUUAGAAAUAAACUUGUUCUCAAUUUUGUUAUUGAUUAGCAAAUAUAGUUAUGAUAAGAGUUGUUAAACUUAAAUAUUGAAUAUUUUAUCUUUCUUAUUGGAUUGAAGCUUCUAAUAUGAAGUAAGCCUCUUAAGUAAGUUCAUAAAAAACUGAUUUUUAUAAAUUAUGUCGUUUGAUAAUACUCUCUUAAAUCAGAAUGAUGUUAAUUAGAGAUAGAAUUGAUGUUGUGAGUUGGAUUAGUAGAAUGGGUUGUAUUAAGGGUUGUGAUGGUUAGUUCAUGGAAGAGCUUAGAAAGUAUGAGUAAUUCAAUUUGUUUAUCUAAAUUGUUGUGAGGAUGGUUAAUGAUUGUUGUUAUUGUUUUGAGGUCGUUGUUGGAGUAUGUAUAUGGAGAUAAUUUAUGAAGUUCGAGCUAUAGUUGGUUAUCCAGAAUGUCGAAUUAUUGGGAAUCGUGUAAAGGGUUCAUUGUUAGUGAUUUUGCAGGGUUGAUGUCGAGGUCUUGGAAUAUGAUUAUUGAUCAAGAAGAAGAGUUUUAUGUUAUGAAAUGGUGGGCUGAGGUUAAAGUUAGAUGUUUUGUUUCAAAGUAUUCGUAAUCUGUUAUUUGAUUUUCAAGUUGUUAUAUUGUGGGCCCCUGACCCACAGAUCCAGGAUCGUUUUUAUAGGUUUAGUUUCCGCUGUAAAUAAAUGCAAAUUCGAGGUUUGUUAAGUGUU